GUUAUUCGAGGUGGACAAUUUCGUGGCAUCCACACGCCGCUGGUAUUGACAGGGGUAACCCCGAGAGAUGCAGGAGAACGCCACGCCUGCCGGAUAAC
rnacentral:ncRNA from 12 species